rnacentral:rRNA from 1 species
GACGAACGCUGGCGGCGUGCCUAAUACAUGCAAGUAGAAUGCUGAAGGAGGAGCUUGCUUCUCUGGAUGAGUUGCGAACGGGUGAGUAACGCGUAGGUAACCUGCCUGGUAGCGGGGGAUAACUAUUGGAAACGAUAGCUAAUACCGCAUAAUAGCAGUUGUUGCAUGACAACUGUUUGAAAGGUGCAAUUGCACCACUACCAGAUGGACCUGCGUUGUAUUAGCUAGUUGGUGGGGUAACGGCUCACCAAGGCGACGAUACAUAGCCGACCUGAGAGGGUGAUCGGCCACACUGGGACUGAGACACGGCCCAGACUCCUACGGGAGGCAGCAGUAGGGAAUCUUCGGCAAUGGACGGAAGUCUGACCGAGCAACGCCGCGUGAGUGAAGAAGGUUUUCGGAUCGUAAAGCUCUGUUGUAAGAGAAGAACGAGUGUGAGAGUGGAAAGUUCACACUGUGACGGUAUCUUACCAGAAAGGGACGGCUAACUACGUG